rnacentral:rRNA from 1 species
GGGGAAUAUUGCACAAUGGGGGAAACCCUGAUGCAGCGACGCCGCGUGAGUGAAGAAGUAUUUCGGUAUGUAAAGCUCUAUCAGCAGGGAAGAAAAUGACGGUACCUGAGUAAGAAGCCCCGGCUAACUACGUGCCAGCAGCCGCGGUAAUACGUAGGGGGCAAGCGUUAUCCGGAUUUACUGGGUGUAAAGGGAGCGCAGACGGCUCUGCAAGUCUGAAGUGAAAGCCCGCGGCUUAACCGCGGGACUGCUUUGGAAACUGCAGGGCUUGAGUAUCGGAGGGGCAGGCGGAAUUCCUAGUGUAGCGGUGAAAUGCGUAGAUAUUAGGAAGAACACCGGUGGCGAAGGCGGCCUGCUGGACGAAAACUGACGUUGAGGCUCGAAGGCGUGGGGAGCAAACAGGAUUAGAUACCCUGGUAGUCCACGCGGUAAACGAUGAAUACUAGGUGUUGGUGCCCGAAGGGCAUCGGUGCCGUCGCAAACGCAAUAAGUAUUCCACCUGGGGAGUACGUUCGCAAGAAUG